GAUGAACGCUGGCGGCGUGCUUAACACAUGCAAGUCGAACGAAGCACUUUAUUUGAUUUCCUUCGGGACUGAUUAUUUUGUGACUGAGUGGCGGACGGGUGAGUAACGCGUGGGUAACCUGCCUUGUACAGGGGGAUAACAGUUGGAAACGGCUGCUAAUACCGCAUAAGCGCACAGCAUCGCAUGAUGCAGUGUGAAAAACUCCGGUGGUAUAAGAUGGACCCGCGUUGGAUUAGCCAGUUGGUGAGGUAACGGCCCACCAAGGCGACGAUCCAUAGCCGACCUGAGAGGGUGACCGGCCACAUUGGGACUGAGACACGGCCCAAACUCCUACGGGAGGCAGCAGUGGGGAAUAUUGCACAAUGGGCGAAAGCCUGAUGCAGCGACGCCGCGUGAGCGAAGAAGUAUUUCGGUAUGUAAAGCUCUAUCAGCAGGGAAGAUAAUGACGGUACCUGACUAAGAAGCACCGGCUAAAUACGUG
rnacentral:rRNA from 1 species